AAUCAUCAACUGCCUUGAUGGGCUUUUGCUCCCAGAAGGGUGAGGUUGGAUUUGGAGGAUGAUUUUGCUGGCGGCUCUUCACCGAGCUUUUGUCGGCUCCUCUAGAAUGCAUGGGCCUUCCUGUGCACCAGCGAAGCGACUCUCUGAUGUGAUAAUUAUCUACGUCGGACGGUCGCGCUCGCUUUGGGCACGAUGGAUUGCAAAACGCAGCUCGCAUCUUUCAGGAUGGUGUGUCUUUGACAAAU
rnacentral:misc_RNA from 1 species